rnacentral:rRNA from 1 species
UACGAAGGGGGCUAGCGUUGUUCGGAAUUACUGGGCGUAAAGCGCGCGCAAGCGGCUAUCCAAGUCAGUGGUGAAAGCCCGGAGCUCAACUCCGGAACUGCCAUUGAAACUGUUUAGCUUGAGGAUGAGAGAGGUGAGUGGAAUUCCCAGUGUAGAGGUGAAAUUCGUAGAUAUUGGGAAGAACACCGGUGGCGAAGGCGGCUCACUGGCUCAUUACUGACGCUCAGGCGCGAUAGCGUGGGGAUCAAACAGG